AAAUGACUUUUGAACUUAGUGGCGGACGGGUGAGUAACGCGUGAGCAACCUGCCUUUCAGAGGGGGAUAACAUUUGGAAACAGAUGCUAAUACCGCAUAAGAUUACAGUACCGCAUGAUACAGUGAUCAAAGGAGCAAUCCGCUGAAAGAUGGGCUCGCGUCCGAUUAGAUAGUUGGUGAGGUAACGGCUCACCAAGUCUGCCGAUCCCAGUAGCCGGACCUGGAGAGGUUGAACGGCACAUUGGUACUGAGUACACGGACCCAAACGUCCG
rnacentral:rRNA from 1 species